CCCCAUUAGGGACAACAUAUCAUUCUCACCCUAGGGUGGCACAGCCCCACCCCAUUCCACUGUGCAUUAAGGUGUAAACCUCAAAUGUAUCUGCAUCACAUUUGUCCCUUAAACUUGUGUUCUUCGUUUUAGGCCGUGGCCCUCUGGGCACACAGCUGGGUGGGGGGGACGAUGACAUGCAUUCGGUCCGCUUCUUUCCCCUGAUAGGGUUGCCUUUCAGGUGCGAUAGCUUUUGUGGAGGAGGGGUACGACCCUGUCUUGGUUAGGUAUCUGACUGGUAGUUUGGGGUACCUCCCAGCUUAAUUGUGUGUGCCUCCAGUCUGCUACCCGUAGAAGUGAGAUUGCGCUCGGGAGCUCCAU